UACACCAGGCAGAGAGCAACUCAUUUCUUCCUUGAAAGUGCUUUUGAAACACUCCCAGUCCUGACUUUGUGAGCUGCUUUUGCAUUUCUGUUUUGAUUAUAAUCUCAUUUUUUCUUUCUGUUGGACCUGUUUUAAGAGUAAAACAAGAGUAGGGUUUCUUAAGACAUCUCACUCAAACAGAACUUCCCAGCAAUGAGAUAAGACCAUCAGGAAAUGUUUCACUAUGCUGUUCAGGCUGGCCUUAAACUCACUGUGUAGCCCAGGCUGGGAUCAAACUCACAGCAGUGCUCCUGCCUCAGCCUCACAACAUACUGGGAUUACAGGUUGUUAAGAUCAUAGAAUCUGGCUAGAAAGCGGUUCACAAAUUUUACAAUGGGGAAAAAACACAGAAUGGAAAGUUUACUCCAUGCAAAGAUCUCUCACUUUCUAGAGGGGUUCAGACACCAAAGUGAGGUGCUCUUCGCAAGCCCAGUGUACAGUGUGGAGCCUCGAGUCCCCUGCCCUCAUCCCGGAGUCUCACCACAGGUGAAGAUCUUUGGGCUCAGUGAGGACAAGCAACAAAAUUAUGGCAACUUUUCACAGGAAGAACUGAGUUCUGGAGACCUAACUACUCAUGAUUUUGACCCUACAGCAGACUGUGGUCUCUUCAAAUAUUUGACCAUCUCCAUAUCUUCUUGCCACAUCCAUCUGUUAGACUCUCCUUCUGGGACAGAGAAACCCAUGAGUUGCUUUCAUAAAAGGUAACUCUGAGAUGGAAAUUGGAAGGAACAUUUGAGGGGAGGAAGCCUAGUUGAGAAGUCCAAACACUUAACUAUGCUAAGUGACACAGGGUAAGUCACUUAGCAUCUUGGGAGCUUCACUUUCUCAUCUAUGCAAUGAGUGAAGAUGACUGGAUAAGUUUUAGGGGAACUUCAGCUUUAAGUUUGGUACCCUAAAUUUGCAAACUGGUGUAAGGCAGUGAUUACUGUGCAAUGCACCACUAAGCCUACUUGAGACAUCUGACUUCUCAGGGGUCACCCUGAAAUUACAUUCUGAAAGAAAAAGGAAGAGAAAAAACACAAUUUCAUAUCAUGCAGUUAUUUACAUUUUUUGUUCAUACACAGGUAACAAAAUAAUAACUAUGAGCCAGGAGAGAAUUGAAUAAAAAUAAUAAUUCAUAGAGAAUAUUCCAGCUUUCCAUCUGCUGUCAAUAUCGUCCCCCAAAUAAGCCCAGGGGAAAUUUCUGUCUCUUCUACACACUCUCCUACAAUCAUGGAACAUUCUAACAGACAUUUAUUUUAUGAAAAUUGUUUAUAGCUCUGAAUCUCUUAAAAUUACUUUAUGUACUUAAGCAAUUAGCAAUGUGAUUUCAUGUCUUAUUGCUACCUAAGCAAA